rnacentral:rRNA from 1 species
CCUACGGGAGGCAGCAGUGGGGAAUUGUUCGCAAUGGGCGCAAGCCUGACGACGCAACGCCGCGUGGAGGAUGAAGGUCUUCGGAUUGUAAACUCCUGUUGCCCGGGACGAAACGCUUCGACCUAACACGUCGAAGUCUGACGGUACCGGGUGAGGAAGCCCCGGCUAACUCUGUGCCAGCAGCCGCGGUAAUACAGAGGGGGCUAGCGUUGUUCGGAAUUACUGGGCGUAAAGGGCGCGUAGGUGGCCUGUUAAGUCGAACGUGAAAUCCCCGGGCUCAACCCGGGAACUGCGUCCGAGACUGGCAGGCUCGAAUCCGGGAGAGGGAUGUGGAAUUCCAGGUGUAGCGGUGAAAUGCGUAGAUAUCUGGAGGAACACCGGUGGCGAAGGCGGCAUCCUGGACCGGUAUUGACGCUGAGGCGCGAAAGCCAGGGGAGCAA